GAUGAAGAACGUAGCGAAAUGCGAUAAGUAAUGUGAAUUGCAGAAUUCAGUGAAUCAUCGAAUCUUUGAACGCACAUUGCGCCCGUCGGAAUUCCGGCGGGCAUGCCUGUCCGAGCGUCAGCUUCCAACACUCUCCCCCUAAAGGCCCCUGCGGGGUCGAGGGACGUUGGGCGCUUCCGGGGCGGCCAAGACGCCGAACCGGACGCCCUAAAGCCAGAACCGGCGGCGAGAGCAACAAUCUCACCCCGAGCGUCGUGGGAAAACAUCACCGCUCCAGGGUCGAAGCAGCGCCUCGUCACCGCGAAGCUCAAGGGGAAAAAACCCCCCGGCAGAAACGAUCGACCUCGGAUCAGGUAGGGACACCCGCUGAACUUAAGCAUAUCAAUAAGCGGAGGA
rnacentral:misc_RNA from 1 species